ACAUAAAAAAUAAUUGCAAAUAAUAACAACCAAGUAUCUGCACACGCAUAUUCUCUUUGGUCCCGUUCUUGAAGACAUCUCUGAUGAGGUCUCGUACGAUCUGGCAUGCGAUG
rnacentral:sRNA from 15 species